rnacentral:snoRNA from 1 species
UUGGGUCAUAUGAUGAUUAUAUGCAUAGUUCAACUGAUCAACUCUGUGAUUAGAACAAAAUCUUUUAGUCUUUCGCUCCUAUCUGAUGACCACG